UUAAUUGAAACCAAAAAGAGGUAAAUCACUGUUAAUGAUUAAAAUGAAUUAAUUUUCCAAUUAAA
rnacentral:tRNA from 1 species